UGAGUAUAAUUUAAAGUAGGGCCUGCCCACUGAGUAUUUGAAGGGCCGCAGUAUUUUGACUGUGCAAAGGUAGCAUAAUCAUUAGUUUUUUAAUUGAAAGCUUGUAUGAAUGGUUUGAUGAGAAAAUAACUUUCUAUGUUUAAAUUUUUAAAAAUUUUAUUUUUAAGUUAAAAAGCUUAAAUUUUUAUAAUAGACGAGAAGACCCUAUAGAGUUUAAUUUUUGUAAAUUUUUAAAUUUUUAGAAUUUUAUAAUUAAAAUUUUUAUAAUAAUUUGAUUGGGGUGAUUAAAAAAUUAAAUUAACUUUUUUUAUAUUUAAACAAAAAUUCAUGAAUAUUGAUCCA
rnacentral:rRNA from 1 species